UACAGAGGCCAAGAGCGUUGUCCGGAAUUAUUGGGCGUAAAGCGCAUGUAGGCGGCGCCUUAAGUCUGUCGUGAAACUUCGGGGCUUACCCCCGUAUGGCGAUGGAAACUGGGGUGCUUGAGUGCAGGAAAGGAAAGGGGAACUCCCAGUGUAGCGGUGAAAUGCGUAGAUAUUGGGAAGAACACCGGUGGCGAAGGCGCCUUUCUGGACUGUGUCUGACGCUGAGAUGCGAAAGCCAGGGUAGCGAACG
rnacentral:rRNA from 1 species